rnacentral:rRNA from 1 species
CUUGCUUUUAUUGAGUCGAGUGGCAAACGGGUGAGUAACGCGUAGACAACCUGCCGCAAAGAUGGGACAACAGUCCGAAAGGACUGCUAAUACCGAAUGUUGUAUCUCCUCCGCAUGGAAGAGAUAUUAAAGAUGGCCUCUACUUGUAAGCUAUCGCUUUGCGAUGGGUCUGCGUCUGAUUAGCUAGUUGGUGGGGCAACGGCCUACCAAGGCGACGAUCAGUAGCCGGUCUGAGAGGAUGAACGGCCACAUUGGAACUGAGACACGGCCCAGACUCCUACGGGAGGCAGCAGUGGGGAAUCUUCCGCAAUGGACGAAAGUCUGACGGAGCAACGCCGCGUGAACGAUGACGGCCUUCGGGUUGUAAAGUUCUGUUAUACGGGACGAAUGGUACGACGGUCAAUACCCGUCGUAAGUGACGGUACCGUAAGAGAAAGCCACGGCUAACUACGUG